UACGUAGGGUGCAAGCGUUGUCCGGAAUUAUUGGGCGUAAAGAGCUCGUAGGCGGUUUGUCGCGUCUGCUGUGAAAACUGGGGGCUCAACCCCCAGCCUGCAGUGGGUACGGGCAGACUAGAGUGCGGUAGGGGAGAUUGGAAUUCCUGGUGUAGCGGUGAAAUGCGCAGAUAUCAGGAGGAACACCGGUGGCGAAGGCGGAUCUCUGGGCCGUAACUGACGCUGAGGAGCGAAAGCAUGGGUAGCGAACAGG
rnacentral:rRNA from 1 species